AUUGAUCAAGUUUCAAGUGUGGACAUUUACUUCAGUAUGAGGAUGUCAAUUAUUAAACUAGCUUUCGUAUUGGUUUUCAUCUUUGCAACAGGUUAGUAAUUUUGUUUUACGCAACCCUGAUCAUUUCUCUUGUUGAAAUAUAUGGAUCCAAUUCUAUAUCGUAAAUUAUUUUCAUUAUACUCUAAUUAUUCAUCCAAAUUUGCUUGAAAUUUAUGAUAUGAAUUUUGUUCAUGUAUUAUUUAUGUGACUACAUAUAUGUGCAAAGAAUCAUAUGCGUGGGGUCCCAUUGUGCAUAUUCCUUGUAGCGCAGACAUACAGUGUGAAAAAAUUCAUGGUCCUGGUUGCGAAUGUAUUCACACAUAUUGUUGUCCACCGCCACCGUUUGAUAAACUGCGGAUCCAAGCAUCACAAGAAUGAGUAUCAAAAGUGUGUGUUGGAAUAAUAAAAUGUUGAUAAGGAUUGAUUACAUCUUAUUAUCAUGUAAUAUCAAA
rnacentral:lncRNA from 1 species